CAGUAAAGUUGGCAAAGAUCAAGAACCACCAACAAAGAGGAAGGAAUCUUGGAGCUCGAUCACUUGCAAAAGCAAAACUAAGACCAUCAGCCAUGGGGAUUCCCAGGUAACCCCUUUUUUUUUUUGGACAAUAUAUGCCCAGGUAACUUCUACUCAUAGUGUUAGGAAAAUAAAAAUAAAGAUAUACUCAUAUUGCAACAGAUUCAGUGUACUUAUAUACAUAAAAAGGACUAAUUUCAUUUUGUUUCCAUGAAAUUUAUAUCGAUGGAUUGCACCACAAAUUUCAUUUUGGAAAAUUAAUCUAAACUUUUUAUAUCUUCCUCACUUUGUUCCGGUAGUUAGGUAGUUAGUGUAUUAAACCUUAUAACGAAAACUUAGCAUCACAUUGCACCCUUAAACUUCACACAAAUAAUCAUAUUGCACCUAAAAUUUCAAUUUUCAGGCACUUGAUUCCCCCAAAGAUGCCAUGUGUUUUACUUGCUCUGGUUUAGUUUUGCAGUGCCCAAACAAAUUACUUAAAUCAUACUAUCAUUGGCAUGUGAGAGUCAAAUAGUAGAAACUUUGCACUAGUUUGUUGUAUCACUAGUCAUAAAUUGUUAUCGCAUUGUUCCUUUGAUGAUACUAAGAUUGUAAAAUACUAUUUACUGACAAACUACCAACUAUGAAAUAAAAAGAACUGAACUAUCCUGAAACAUUAGAUUGAGAUUAGGAAUAAUAAAAAUCAAUAUUGAAAAUAAUUUAAAAAAAUUUGCUUACAUUCUGGAAGCUAAGUGGGUUGAAAUCAUUUUGUGCUAAAAUGUGUAGCAAGUAGCAAAUAGAAAGCUAAUACUCCAUCUUCACUGGAUAACUUAGGUGCAUUCUUUACAGCCCACACAAUUAACGUUCCUUUACAUAAAGAAAAUGACCAUGUAGAUUUAUUACUUCAAAAUCUUAUGAAAAUUUUUAAUAACAAUUACUAGUCAAAAGGGGAUAAUUUUGAACUACGUUUCUGAAACAAAUUAAAGGAAUUUCCUUCUAGUUGGCAGCUAUUUGUACGUGUAACUAUUAACUUUGCUUUUUGUCGAAUAUCAUGGCAAAGUUAAAUAACACACUCCCAUAUGCAUAAUUUGCACCAAUAUUGUAACAGCAUUAGUGACAAUUAAAGCAUUUUAGAGUUCAGCAUUGUCCCGCGCUGAAGUUUGGGGUAUAGUACAUGGAAAAAAUCAAAAGUUAGGGUGCGUAGUAGAACUAAUUGAAGAAAAUUCAUAGUGAAGAAUGUCCAAAAUUAAAACCUGUGGUGAAAUCUUAACAUAAGUUCAAGAGUGCAAUGUGAUCCUAAAUGAAACUAAUCUGAAUAUAAUAACUAAAUAACCCCUAUAAAAGAUGCUAAGUGCACUUCACCCCCCCCAUGUUUUUAACGCGCUACUAAUUUUUUCCAUACUGUCAGUUCUUAACAACACAAGAUCAACUAUAAGUGCCAAAAUAUUCCUAUUACGGAAAUGGUGUGGGGUAAGCAUUUAUGCAUAUGUUAGCCAUUUUUCGAGUAACUGUAUGUAGGGCAGUAACCAAGAAAUUUGAAAGCAAAAACAUAAAGAGCUGGAUUUUAGAGCAUGGCAGGGACAUGGGGUAAGGUUAUAAAAAUCACAGGGUAUAAUUUGCAGUUUGGAAAAAUGUGUAUGAAGAAUUGUGCAAAUUAACUUGAGUUUUAAUUGAUAUUUUGCAGGUCAUUCAAGGUUAUACAAGUUGCAAUACUUGGAAAGAAAUCAGAAUGGAGUUUGCAACUUUUACAAGCCAUUGCUGAAUGUGGAAAAGGGAGAAGCUGGCGGUCGUCUAAUGAUCGUCUAGUCUCGCAAUCUAGUGCCUCAAGCAAUUCUUUUAAUCUUCUUCACCAGUCUAGCAAGGACAAUCAUCUUAACUUGGACUUGUCUAUCUCAUCAUGUUACCACUGCUAGCUCCCAACACCAAUAUAUAACUAGUUCGUUCAAUAUUAUUAGAACAUAGUAAGAAAACUUGGACCGGUUGUACAAUUUUGUAUAAGAAUGUAGGAAGUUUGUAUGGAUUGUUUUAGAGAUAUGAAUAUAUUGUUGACAUGCAG
rnacentral:lncRNA from 1 species